GCCUGGCUGGCUCAGUUGGUAGAGCAUGUGACUCUUGAUGUCAAGGUUGUCGGUUUAAACCCCAUGUUGGGUG
rnacentral:tRNA from 1 species